rnacentral:SRP_RNA from 1 species
UGCCGGUCCCCUCGCAAUGAUAGGUUGUGAACCCCGCCAGGCCCGGAAGGGAGCAACGGUAAUAGCUGACUCAUGUGCCGUGGUUAGGCUGGCAGGG